AACGAACGCUGGCGGCAGGCCUAACACAUGCAAGUCGAGCGAGGACUUCGGUUCUAGCGGCGGACGGGUGAGUAACGCGUGGGAAUGUGCCCUUCUCUACGGAAUAGCCCUGGGAAACUGGGAGUAAUACCGUAUACGCCCUUUUGGGGAAAGAUUUAUCGGAGAAGGAUCAGCCCGCGUUGGAUUAGGUAGUUGGUGGGGUAAUGGCCUACCAAGCCGACGAUCCAUAGCUGGUUUGAGAGGAUGAUCAGCCACACUGGGACUGAGACACGGCCCAGACUCCUACGGGAGGCAGCAGUGGGGAAUCUUAGACAAUGGGGGCAACGCUGAUCUAGCCAUGCCGCGUGAGUGAUGAAGGCCUUAGGGUUGUAAAGCUCUUUCAGCUGGGAAGAUAAUGACGGUACCAGCAGAAGAAGCCCCGGCUAACUCCGUG
rnacentral:rRNA from 1 species